rnacentral:rRNA from 1 species
UUGGAGGGCAAGUCUGGUGCCAGCAGCCGCGGUAAUUCCAGCUCCAAUAGCGUAUAUUAAAGUUGCUGCAGUUAAAAAGCUCGUAGUUGAAUUUCGGGACCAUCAUGUCGGUCGUGCCUCGGUAUGUACUGGCAUUGUUGGUUUCUACCUUCUGACGAACCAUGAUGUCAUUUAUUUGGUGUCGUGGGAAAUCAGGACUGUUACUUUGAAAAAAUUAGAGUGUUUAAAGCAGGCUCACGCUUGAAUACAUUAGCAUGGAAUAAUGAAAUAGGACGUUUGAUUCUAUUUUGUUGGUUUCUAGGAUUGACGUAAUGAUUAAUAGGGAUAGUUGGGGGCAUUAGUAUUCAAUUGUCAGAGGUGAAAUUCUUGGAUUUAUUGAAGACUAACUACUGCGAAAGCAUUUGCCAAGGAUGUUUUCAUUAAUCAAGAACGAGAGUUAGGGGAUCGAAGACGAUCAGAUACCGUCGUAGUCUUAACCAUAAACUAUGCCGACUAGGGAUCGGAUGAUGUUAAUUUUUUAAUGACUCAUUCGGCGCCUUACGGGAAAC